GUUGCCGGAGGGGAAAAGCAGUCGCAGUCCUCCCCCCCCACCCGGGUCCGUUGCUUAGGUCGUUCCCUCCGGAAACAAAGCGGCGACUCCCGGGUUCCAUGCUGGGAGCGGCAGGUUGUCUCUGAGGUGAUGUCACAGGGGGUGCAAGUCACAGGCGUGACGUCCCUUUGGGCCUGAGUGUGGGCUCCUCCAGCCCCCAGUGCGCGACCAGCGUUGUCCCUAUCUGGCGUAGCCCCGGGAAGGGGCAAGGCCGCCCCACGCCGCAGGGCGUUGCACGUGCAGCCGAGGGCGAAAUGGGCAGGGCCGAGAAGAGAAGCCAUGUGGGCUUGUGGCAGCUGAGGUGCAGGCAUCAGACCUUGAGGUAGCCCGAGGCACCGAGGGAAGAUGGUGUAAAUGCUGAUCUGGAAGGGACAGGCGAGGCCGCGAUGAGGUGGAAGGCCCCUGCGAGACCACAGAGGGAGAGGCGCCAGCCGGGCUUUGGGGCCCUUCCUCAGGCCUGCGAGAGAAGCAGAUUUGGCCUGAGCUCGGCACAGUCGCUGCCGUUCGACCCUGCUGUGUUAAGGGCAUCUCGUUUUAUUUCAAACAGGAUGAGCUGGGCAGGAGCUAACCCGUUCUGCACAACUCGACGCCCGCGCGCCUGGGCCCGAGUGCCGGGGCGUGGCCCUGAGCCGAAAUCCGCAAAACAGCGGAGCCAGAAGUGUCAGAAAUGUCCCCAGAUCUCCAGCAAAGAUGGUUUCUAGCAUGAUUUGCUCAGCUGCCUACAUCCCCACGUCACAGCUUCAGAGAAAACCCAGGGCACUACCUGGGUCUCCAGCACCUUAAACCAGUUUCUGACAACAACACUUCUUGAUCUAAGGAGACCCACCUGGACUAGAGACUUUGCACGGAUUCUGCCGCUCUUUCUGGUGUAAAAGUCUUUUUCAAACCUUCUGCAUCCAUCUUUGCAUAGAAAAGACAAGCCUAAUACUUGUGGGUUUCAGAAACGGGAUGUAUUUUGCUUGGUACCACAGAAACAAUUUACCUCCGUUACAAGGGAAGAUGUUUGUGUCUCACAGGUUCAUCUACAGUCCUUAUUAUUGUAGGGUUUUUAUUCCCAAUUUUAAAAGCCCACAACAGAAAUGCCUAAUAUCGCUAUCAAAAAUAAAUAAAGAGCAGAGAGUGGUAGAGAGCAUAGGAUGUUUUAAGAUGGAAGGCUAGUCAUUGAAAUGUAACUUAUUCUGGAGUGGCUCCUAGCUGUUAAAAGAAUCAGGGAGUUAUGUCAAGACGUGGGUAGGUGGUGGGGAAAAACACCUUUUUUGUCAAACAGGCUCUUUAAUGACUGCAAGGCAGGAUUCUGAUUUUGCAUCCAGUUUGGAAUUGGCACCUCCGGUCUCACAUCGGUAGGCAAUGGUUCAAUAGUGACUCGGAAAAGAAGAGAACCGCUGCUUGAAUUGCCAAUUGCUGGGAGGAGGCUGCACAAAUAUCUUGACACUGUGACCAGAGGUGGUGAUUACCUACCCAAGGUCAUUGGUGAGGCUCCUACAUGCCGCAUCAUUUGGAGCAGCCAAGCUCAGUCCCCUGCUUUGAAUGAGCACUGCUUUCAGUAAGGCUUCCGUCAGGAAUCGGGGGCUGAAUGAAACCCCUGCCCGGCUGGCUCGCUGUAUAGUGGGAGGCACUGUGUGGGGUUGUGCCAUCAUCCUUGAUGACAGCAGUCUCCAACAUAUGCCAGGUCCCCUGCCCCAGCAGGCCUGGGGUAAUAGGCACAGUAUAGAACCACCUUCCCUGGCCCCAUUCAAGACUGCUCUGAAGUUUCUCCUUCUGUGACAUGCAGUAGUGAAGUUGCCUCCACGUAAACAAGCUCACGCCGCUCACCUGGUGCCUGCAGCUGCUGUCCCAGUGACCUGGCGUAUUGCUGAUCCGCCUGUGCUGCAAACCUGCCGUGUACCCACAGCAAUGGUGCUGUAUUUGUCCACAGGUCCGGGACCUGAGAGCCUUACAAGCAUGAACAAGCAUGUCUGUGUGCCCUGGGACUCUCUGAUUCAUAGAGUUUGAGGUCAGGAGGGAUGAUGCCCAUGUCACCAAUAUGCCACUGGCACGGAGCUAGUGACAGCGAUGACCAACCCACACUGCUGCGAAGCACCAAGCUCACAUGCAGCACGCUGUUAAUGACUGUGACACCACGCUUACACUGAAGCCUUGCCAGAUGACGCAUAGAACUUCCCCAAGGCUCAGGGAGCACUUUCCUCCCUCCCUGACUUCGCAUGGCAUCAGCUGGAUGCAGCUGAGGACUAAGUAUUGCAUCUGCAUCAUGUGGGGACUCUGAAAAGGGAGCCCAGAGUUGCAGCAUCUGGAUUUUGGAGAGCAGCGAGUUUCCCUGCCUUCUUCCUUGGGGUUCAGAGAUCAAGCCAAACUGCAUCCUGCCUAAGGGUGACUUAUUUUUUAGCCCUGGCUCAUACAGAUUUUAUGAAACAGGAUUUUAUGUUUCUCCUCCCCAUGGUAUUUACCAGAUUGCUCCAAAUUACAUGGUGGUGAACAUGAAAGCCACAUACCUGUGGAGGAGAGAAUGAGUAGUUCUCAGUUUUCAGUCUGGCUCUCUUUCUCUCCCUACCCCUUCCCCACCUCUCCCUGCCUUGUGGAGCCAGCUGCUCCGAGAAUAGUUCAGGAAUGAAAUGUCACAGUUUGAAGCUGGCUCCCUAGGAUCUUCAUCUUCCACUAGAGACUGCCAAAGGAUUGCCACUUAGAGCCAAUGGGACUAUUGUGUUUCUGUGAUGCGGACCAUUGUCCAUCAGAGAUAAGUGAAUGGAGGACCUUCUCUCCCCACCCACGUUCAUAUUAUAUGAGAACCAUCAAAGAGCUUUCACAUGGCACCAGGGCUCAGUCAAAGUCGGGCUACAUCAGGCAUUGUUUGAUGAGGUUUUUGUCUCAGUGAGGCCUGAGGGAUGUGGUGCAGUAUCAAGCUCUCUGUCCUGGCAUAUUUUUUAACUAUUAAAAUUAUUUUAUAGCGAGUGCAGUAAAGUUUAAUGAGUUUAUAGAACUUGGGCUAGGGCCCCACCUAUUCUGUAGCCACUGAGUUUGCCACAGAAUUCAUCCCUUGUUGCAGAUUUCUGUUCCAGAAUCUCCUUUUUUUCAAAAAGUAUCUCGCCCUCCUCAUGGUAAAGAUGGCCAAGAAAGGUGACAGGAGCACGAGUGCUGUGCUGUAUGCUCUUGGCCAACUCAGGUGUGAAAUAGCAUGUCUGAGAGGUUUAAACUUGCCUUCCUUGUCCCCGUGGGUUAUUACUUCUGAAACAGAAAGGGAACAAAUUAAUGCUUACGUGGUUAACACUUUCACUGUUGUUCCAUUCAGCUAGAUGCCUCUGCUGAGAGCUUGCCCUCCAAACUGGCUCACGCUCCUCUCCCAGUGCUGAAAGCCUCAAACAUCCUCUAAUCCACUUCCAGCCUCCCCACUAAAUCCUGAGGUGCCAUUAGCCAUUGUCAGUACAACAGUGACAUGUUGAAAAGUGACCAUGCAGGGACUGCCUGGAAUAAAGUCAAUGCACUUAAAAAUAAAUAACACGGGAGCUCCUGCGUUGAUUAUAUUGCUCCCUUAAAUACUGAAUUCAAGAUGCACUCGAUGUUUUAAAUACAUCUGAAGCUAUGAUAGAAUUUCACGGAUUUCCACCAGAAGCCAAGAAUUUUGCCACUGGAUUUCCAGCACACAUGUGCACUCAGUGAUUCCUCAGAACCUGAAAUCUCCAACUGGGAAUCGGGCUUCCAGACUCUCUCGUACCUCGGCAAACUGUGGCUUCAAUACGCAAGGUUCCACCUCAUCCAAACUAGGAUUUCUGUUCCAUUCCAAAGGUCACUGGUUCUAUCCAUUUGUUCUGUGACUGGAAAAUGAUGACAAAGUUUAUUAACCAAGAUGAUUUUGGACAUUUAUUAGCAAGACAUUGUCAGGCAACAAUGGCAGCACAGACAGAGAAGCUGGUCCCAGUCCCAUAGUAUUUCCUGCAGGGCUCCCUCCAGCUCACAGCUCUUCUCUGCUGAUCCUCUCGUAUUGUUUUUGAUAAUGAAUAGCAGCUGAUUGUUGCAUUGUCUAAUAAGUGAUUCAUUUACAUUAA